rnacentral:rRNA from 1 species
GUGGAUUAGAUACCCUGGUAGUCUUAGCUGUAAACGAUGAGCACUUGAUUGAAGGGUCCUCCAUAGCCUUUCAGUCGUAGCGAAAGUGUUAAGUGCUCCGCCUGGGGAGUAUGGUCGCAAGGCUGAAACUCAAAGAAAUUGACGGGGGCUCACACAAGCGGUGGAGGAUGUGGCUUAAUUCGAGGCUACGCGAAGAACCUUAUCCUAGUCUUGACAUGCUUGGAUUAACCCUGUGAAAGCAGGGCCACACCUUCGGGUGGAACAAGCACAGGUGCUGCACGGUCGUCGUCAACU